UGCCCAGCAACUCCUAUCCCUACCUCCUCGCGGUACCGGCCGGAAACUACGAGCAACCUUAGGGAAUAUCGGGUAACCAACCCCGGUGGGAGCUUUGGUCGUAGGCUGACAGGGAAGG
rnacentral:ribozyme from 1 species